rnacentral:rRNA from 1 species
UGGGGAAUAUUGCACAAUGGGGGAAACCCUGAUGCAGCGACGCCGCGUGAGCGAAGAAGGUUUUCGAAUCGUAAAGCUCUGUCCUAUGGGAAGAUAAUGACGGUACCAUAGGAGGAAGCCCCGGCUAACUACGUGCCAGCAGCCGCGGUAAUACGUAGGGGGCAAGCGUUGUCCGGAAUCACUGGGCGUAAAGGGUUCGCAGGCGGAAAUGCAAGUCAGUUGUGAAAGGCAGAGGCUCAACCUCUGUAAGCAAUUGAAACUGUAUUUCUUGAGAUGUGGAGAGGCAAGUGGAAUUCCUAGUGUAGCAGUGAAAUGCGUAGAUAUUAGGAAGAAUACCGGUGGCGAAGGCGACUUGCUGGACACAAACUGACGCUGAGGAACGAAAGCGUGGGUAGCAAACAGG